GCCUUGAUGAACAUUUCACCUUUAUAGCCUGGUUAGAAAGUUAAGUUCUCUGAACAAAUGACUAGUAAUCACUUAUUGUUAGAAAGCAGAUAGAUCUGCUUCCCAUUCUUCCACCACCACCAAUUCAGGGAUGGCUUGUAUUUCUUCCAGUCACCAAGUAUUGGGGACGCUUUGGGUAUGGAGGAAGAAUCAAAUAUAUUGGUCAUAAGAAGUCGGAAAGCUUAGAACGGGAGAAGAAAAUGAUUCUCAAAGCAGUAGCACUUACCAAAUCUAAUCCCCUUGAGCUGGAACCUUCACCAGUGAUGUCUGAAGGGAGAGCUAAACUCUUCCAGAAGCCCAAGUUCAAACCUCUCCCUCUUCAAAAGCGGUGGCAAGAGAAAUUCGAUCGAUCUGAGCAGUUCCCCAAGAUGCGCGAGGUUCCCCCUUGCUCCAGUUUUCCCACCCGGCAGUGGAGGAAGGCUCAGAGCCGGGACAGCUCCAGUAGCCGGAGCAGCGUGUCCUCUGAGCGCCUGACAGUAAUGAUUAAUUUCAUCCCGCCUCCUGGGAGAGAGUCCCGCCCGGCAACUGACCAGCGGCCCAGGUGGACAGCACUGGUCACGAGACUCCUCGGCACUAGCUCCAAGAGCCUUCCGCAACUACAAAUCGACUGCCCUAAUGUGGGAGCAUAACAGAAGGAAGUAACAACUGAUGUGACCUCCCUUAUCCAGCCCUGCAGAGAUUUCUUAUUCAACAGAGCAUUUUGUCCCUUAGGCAAAACACAGCUGCAUUUUGUUUUAAGAAUAUGAUCCUGAACACACAUACACGAACACAAAUACACACACACACACACACACACACACACACACACACUAGUGAUGGGGUGUGUACAUAUAUAUGCCUUAUCACCAGGAAUUUGAGGAUUCUAAUGAAGGAUCUAUUCUUUGGGGAAUCUACCUUUCAAAGCUGUCUGGCAGUGUUCAGAAUUCAAAUUCAUCACAGGCUAUCACUCACAAUAUAUAACUUUAAUGCACACUUCCACAUUGAGAAACUGAAAGUCAGAAAGGAAUAUUAUUUGGCAGAAUAGAGCUCAACCUGUCUUUUUAUGUUUCGUAGUAUUACAAUUUAGAGUAUUAAUUUGGAUAAGUCAUCAAAAAUCUUUGUCAUCUACAUGAUCCAGAAUUAUCCAACAGUGCAAUUCAUCAUUGUAGUCAGAAGUCUUCAGAUAUGCUUAGAAUUCUGAAAGAACUUUCAUUUUAUAUAUAAGAACUAAUACAUUUAAUAGAGACUUAUAAUAGGCAGAAAAUUAAGUAGAGUAAAAACAAAUAUGCUUUUUGGUUCUCAAAACAAGCCCAUGAAAUAGGGGCUAUUGUUACUCCCGUUAAUCCCAUUUUGCAAAGAACACACUUGAGAACAAGAAGUUAUAUCCUGCCCAGGAACACAAAUCUAUACAUAUGAGAUAAUAUUUAAACCCAGUCUUUCUAACUAAAAAUGCAGCAGGCUAUCCUCCAGGACAUGAUUAAUAAAU
rnacentral:lncRNA from 1 species